rnacentral:lncRNA from 1 species
UGUACUACUUGGAACUUGCUGAAUGGCUAUUGGAUGAACUUGUUGUUGUGUGUGUACCUUUGGGACUGGCUGAGGAAAUAAUGAAGCCAUGAUGGCUGGAAAAGUUAGCAAAUUCAGGGGAAGUGCUGUCCGAACUUUGAAGGGACUUGUUUGCAUUGAGUUUGUGAUCUAAGACUUGGAUUUGAGCAAGGCAAUGUUAUAUGAUGGAUGAUUUCUGAGCCGUGGAGGUGAGUGACCCUAAACUAUUUCCAAAGUUACUUAUGAACCGUUUCUUGCACUAUUUACUUGAUUGCAUAUCAUGAGUGCUUGCAUGUGGCCCAUGACAUAUUUUGACUUAAAUGAGUACUUGGAAUUCGUGUGCUGAACACCAACGUCUCCACCUCUGUGUACUGUUCAUCUGGAGCAAAUGGCUCCCCCUCUGACUGUUUACUGUUAAAUGUUUGUUUGGAGCGUUGGGUGUUUAAGUACAAUGAUUUCACUGGCUCACGAGAGCAAUAAAUGUACAUUUGAUCUUAGAAUCAUGACAUCACUGAAAUGAACGACUAUGAAACUGAUUUGCUUACCGAUUUUAUUGGUUACUCGCUGAGCUUUUAGCUCACCUCCAAAACUAUUUUAUUCCCCUCCACAGGGCUCGUGGCGAAGGAAGGACUUGUAGUACUUGUUCACGUGACUGGAUGACAUGUAAUUAUUGAAGACUUGGAUGUAUAGUUUGGGGAAUCGUUUCCGCUUUGCUUAUAACAUGUAAUUAUUGGAGAAUUUGAUGUAAUUUUUGAGAUUUAUAUUGUAAUCUGUUUGAGGAAUGUAGUGAACGACUGAGUCCCGGCGAGAGUUGGGCAGGCGGCCCGCCGAACCCUCUGGUUCGCCCUAGGGAGAGGUGGGGCCGUCACAGGUUUCUAAAAUUAUCCCAAGAGAUUUUGUUCCGUUACAUGAAUAGGGAGGCCAUUUGUUGGUGCCAUCU